rnacentral:rRNA from 1 species
AUUGAACGCUGGCGGCAUGCCUUACACAUGCAAGUCGAACGGCAGCGCGGGCUUCGGCCUGGCGGCGAGUGGCGGACGGGUGAGUAAUGCAUCGGAACGUGCCCAGGAGUGGGGGAUAACGUAGCGACAGUUACGCUAAUACCGCAUACGUACUGAUGUAGAAAGUGGGGGAUCGAGAGACCUCGCGCUCAUGGAGCGGCCGAUGACGGAUUAGCUAGUUGGCGGGGUAAAAGCACACCAAGGCGACGAUCCGUAGCUGGUCUGAGAGGACGACCAGCCACACUGGGACUGAGACACAGCCCAGACUCCUACGGGAGGCAGCAGUGGGGAAUCUUGGACAAUGGGGGAAACCCUGAUCCAGCAAUGCCGCGUGUGGGAUGAAGGCCCUCGGGUUGUAAACCACUUUUGGCAGGAAAGAAAUCGCCUGUGCUAAUACCACGGGCGGAUGACGGUACCUGCAGAAUAAGCACCGGCUAACUACGUGCCAGCCGCCGCAGUAA